AUUGAACGCUGGCGGCAUGCCUUACACAUGCAAGUCGAACGGCAGCACGGGGCAACCUGGUGGCGAGUGGCGAACGGGUGAGUAAUGCAUCGGAACGUGCCAUUGAGUGGGGGAUAACGUAGCGAAAGUUGCGCUAAUACCGCAUAUUCUGUGAGCAGGAAAGCAGGGGACCGCAAGGCCUUGCGCUCUUUGAGCGGCCGAUGUCAGAUUAGCUAGUUGGUGAGGUAAAGGCUUACCAAGGCGACGAUCUGUAGCGGGUCUGAGAGGAUGAUCCGCCACACUGGAACUGAGACACGGUCCAGACUCCUACGGGAGGCAGCAGUGGGGAAUUUUGGACAAUGGGCGCAAGCCUGAUCCAGCCAUGCCGCGUGAGUGAAGAAGGCCUUCGGGUUGUAAGG
rnacentral:rRNA from 1 species